CUUCUUCAAUUGUUCCUACAAACUUGGUGACAGAGUCAGACAAGUUGCCAGAGAAGUCCAAAGUUUCCCACAGCUCAGAACACAUUAUCUUAUAACUCACUAAUAAUCAUCAGCAGAGGAGUUAUUUCCAGAAGGAAGCAGUAGUACUUCUCAUUUUGCCUGCAAGAGGCAUUUGUCUCGGGACAUUUAGGUAUAUCAAGAACCAACCACCCUGGUGGCAGAAACUGAGGACAGGUAGAAAACUGAGAACAGGAUGAAAUACAUGCGAAUCCCAAUUCCUUACUACUGCAACUGAACCAGCAGCAGCUACAAUCAAGAAUUCAGUUGCAAGCACAAGAGGUCAGACUAGUGCAGAGUAUGGAUCUUGCUAACAACAGAGGCCUCAACUUGCUACUCAAUUUCCUGCUUAUUGUUAUGGUUCUGGUGCUCAUGUUUAUCCUUGUGAAACUCAUGUGAAUCUCCUUGAGGUUCUGCUUUUUUUGCAAUGAUAACUUAACACAACACGUAAAGAUUGCAUAAACUAGAAAAGUGUCUAUAAAGUAUAUGAAUAUUACAUGCUCAUGUAUCUACUCUACAGCAAAAUAUCUUAAAAGCAAAACAAUCAACAUAUUUGCCAAAGGCUAAGAGGAGUGUAUAAUUCCAUGCUGGCGACAAAAGGACACUGUAUCUAAGCAUACACAGUACUCUUGCCACUGGUAUAAUAAACCGAUUACUUGUAUUUAAACAACGAAGAAUCAAAGGCAGAAGUCUUCUAGGAGUACAAUCUCUGCAAAGAGGAUAACAGAAAUAACAAUGGAAUCUUCAUAGAGCAGCCUCUCUGAAGAAAACUGAAACACAGGCCUGAAAAGGACAAGAGAGAUGCCUAAAGCUGAUUGAUGGCAAGUAUCAGAUUACGUAUGGAAAAGAAAAAACAAAAAUGUUGUUGUGGCUAUUCAAAAGCAAAUCCCACCAUCUGGUUACAGGAUUUGUCAUGCAUGUUCAAAUAUAAAAAAUUAUUAACUGCAGUUUUUUAAAAGGCGUACCAUCCACUGCAGCAUUUGAAGGGGAGGAAAAAAAAACCUCAGCAAGCAGUUCUAUUAUGCAUCAGUAUUGAAAGAAUUACACCAAUCACCAGCUGUUAAGCUUAAAAUUUUGAGCAGUAACAAGGUAAUAUAAAAUAGAGAAUGCUAUCAAGUCUCACUCUACUUCAGUCUCUCUGAAGUUUGCUGAAAGUCUCAUGCAAUAGUAGAUGGGAUGGCCUGGAUACUUACAAUUAAAGCUUCUCACUGUUGUCUACAAAUGAAGUAUGUGCAAUAAAUAUCUAAACAGCCUUUUCAAAAAUCAAAAAGACAUAUAUAGCAACAAGCUGUAAAGUCAAUAGCUAUUCUAUGUUGAUACACUAUUGUCAAUUUCUGUAUCGAUUGUCAAUGUAUGUUUCAAAGAGGAAAAGUUACCCAGCUACUUCAUUAUAAGCACUUUAUCACCUUUUGUUUGAUAUUUUGGAGGAUAUUCUGCUUUUAUAAAAUGUCUGUACAUUCAUAUACGAGGGAUCUAAAUUAUAGCAAUGGGUUCGUUUAAUGUUUUGAUUAACCCGUUUAGAGCCUCACUGAGUAGGCACAUUACCACAAUAUGAAGUAUACCAAAUCCAAACAUACAAACUAAUCCAAAGCCCACUGCAGUCAAAAGGAACGACCAUGCUAUAAUUUUCUAACGACAUGCCUAUUCACAGAUAUGCUGCAUAUAUCGCUUUAGAAUGUACUGUGUAUAUAUAAACAACUACAGCUAUCUAAGAGUUUGUAUCAAAAGAGACAAUUUGAAAAAAAGGAAAAACGGUGACUCUAUGGGUUGUAUUUAUAUUUCACUUUUUAUCCCAAAUCACUUUACAAAUGAAGCAUACAAGAAUCUCACCACCCUCCACUAAUGCGUAGCUACCUCUGGGGAGGAAUGAAACAACUGUUUAUCAACCAAGCAGUGACACUACACAAGUUUGAGACAGACACUAAAACAUACAGCUUUAACUAGACAGAAUAUAAAUUUGUAUGAGCUACUGGGAGUAACAUGUCUUCUGCAGCAAACAGAGGCAUAAUAUUUUUACUGAUCAAAAAUGGUCAAGAUUGGAUUUACACAUCAGCCAUCAGCAUGUAUUGAAAACCAGUCCCACAUACUUAUUGUAUUAAGAUGAAGCCCUAGUUGUCAAAUCCCAAGACCACCAACUUCACAACGAACAGAAUAUAAAAAGCAACUUCAGUGAGGCACAACAAUGAAUAUUAAUUAAACUAAAAGUGACUGCAGUUUUUAGCAUGAAAAAUUCUCUGAAAAUACCAUUUAAUUAAAAAUGAAAUUUUCUGUGGGGAAAUGUUGAUUUUGAGAAAAGAUUUCAAUUUUUUGAUCAGGUGGGACCAAAGUAAAAAUAUUAUGAGUUGACAUUUCAAAAUGAAACUAUUUCUUCAUUUCAAAAUGUCAAUUUGAAGAGAAUGGUAUCAUUUCAACAUGUCAGAUUGUUUUGCUCACAAAUGUAGACAUUUAGUUGAAUAUUUCCAAUUCACAAGUUGAAAUAUUUUGAUUUACAAAAUGUUUUGAUAUUUUGACUUUCCAUUCUGAUUUGGAAUGCAAACUAAUUUUGAAUUGUCUAAAUUUUCCAAGAGACUAAAAAAUCAUCUCCCAAACAGCUCUAAUAUUAACCUAUGCAUGCUUUAAACAGAGAGGAGGGCUAAGCACCUCGUUAAUGGCAAAAAGACAAAUUAAGGGGAAAGCCAGACUACUAAGUAACUUCCAUCCAGGACAGAUGUUGCCUCCCAGAUGAACUGGUGCAGUAUACUAAACUCAAGUGUACACAAUGAGAGCACUGGGGGUGGCGGUAGGAUGUGUGGUGAGGACAUGGGCCUGGCGUCAGCACAGGGCCAGCUUCACUCCACACAGCCGCCCUGGGGCCAGUCCCAGUUUAUUCAAGGUAGUGAGACCCCACCCAGGAAAUGGUGGGGGGGAAGGGUGCUCCACUCAUCAUGCAAACCCAGCUGCUCAGAUCGGGGAGAAGGCCAGCAUGAGCCAGCAUCCGACACUGCCCCCCUUAGUGCCUGGAGAACCAACCCCUCCCCAGAGUUCCCUUUGGGCCACUGUAGCUCUGACCUCUUUGUGCCGUGAUGGGGCCAGGAAUGGUAGUACCAUGAUGCAGGACUCAGCCUACGGAGCUGCAUGUGGUUUCUUGUGCAAAGGAGCAAACAUGGCUCCUCCAGUUAUUCCUGCAGGAUGUUUCUGCAUCCUUGGUUUCAAGAUUUCUGUGGGUCCAACUGAACCCAUGAACCCCUGCUAAAGCCACCCUGGCUUCCACCUAUUAUAACAAUACUAGAGUCAGAUGCAAGUCAGGGUAGUCUAAAGAAGCCUCUUUUCACCAAGUAUACAAACAUACUGUAUAUUAAAAGAGAAGGAAGAUGUUCUUCCAAAGACACCUAGUACAUAGUACUAAUAUGCAGGUUUGCAACCUGCUGAAACAUUUCUUACUGUAUGUUCUCCUGCAGUUUUCAAGACAAAGUAUUUUAAUUUUAAAUCUUAUUUCUAGUUGCUGUACAACAUUCAGCUCUACAUCAACAAUAUCAAGGUUUGAGAAACUACUAUUCACAAAUACUCCUAGUCAAACCUUUCACAGCCUUAAGGGGCAUAUUUCUUCACUUCAAAUUUUAUGCCCGGCUUCUAGUUAAAUCAAUGGGAGCCUUGGUCAUGCAUCUGAGGCUAAAAUUUUGCCCUAAAAGGUGCCUAAUCCUGCAGCACUUUCCUGUGGAAAAAAGUUACCUAAAAAUGGGAUUUCUGUGUGUUGGAAUAUUAGGCAUAAGUAGGGAAUAACUAAGCAUAAUGCCUAAUGGCAUGGGAAUAUAUAGUGUGGAUCUUUCUAGCUCACUAAGAAAACGUUAACCUUAUGUUAAAAAAAAAUAAAAUAUCUGCUUCUUGAAGGUCUGUUUAUAUCUUAGAUUAAAGGAUUUGAUGAGAGACAUGCCCUCAAAACAGCACAUGUUGGUGAAGACAACCUCAAGAAUGCUCCCAUGAUGUUACUGAGUAUCAGAGAAACACUUAAAAGCUAGUAACCUCCCCUGAAAUUUGUUUCACAACACAUAUGUUUAGAAAUUAUAGCUGGAGGUGAACAUUUUAUAAUCUCUUCAGAGUAAUAUGCAUCUCCUUUGAAAAUCUAAUCUGUUGAUCCACGUCACUUUUUUUAAAAAACAGUUCCAAUAUAAAGAUGCUUUUCACAUAGCCUGAGGUUGAGUACAGAAUGUGUUUAAUAGACCAACUUUUCUGCACACACUUUCUGAUGUAAUGUUCAGGGCAAGUUAUCAUUGUUCUAGCUACAUUCUUAGUCAAAGAUAAAUUUGGUUAUAAUUUUGUGUUUUCUUUAGUGUAGAAACAGCGUAUGUGGCUUCUUUCUGCCUGCUCUAAAAAUCACUGCAUUUCAAUCAGUACACAUACUUCCAAACAGAUGGCACAUUUCUUAUUGCACUGUUAAAAGAUUGUCACCAUCAGCAAAAAUGGUCUCUAGUGUCAUGAAAUGAAACUCCUUACUUUGAAAAGGAAAAUAAGGUUUACCAUCCUGUUAUUGUAUUGUACACAGUAUCACUGCUUUACUAUUUUUUUAAUAAAACUAACUUUUAACAAGAUUUUUAAUUUUUCAUAAACAGUAGCAAAUCAACUUCAGGAGAUUCUGCUGUUUGGACAGUAUUCAAUAUGUAAAAUAGCAUUACAAAUAAAUAAAUUUUAUUGCAGAAACAUU